ACGAACGCUGGCGGCGUGCCUAAUACAUGCAAGUCGAGCGGACAGAUGAGGAGCUUGCUCCUCUGAAGUUAGCGGCGGACGGGUGAGUAACACGUAGGCAACCUACCUGUAAGAUUGGGAUAACUCCGGGAAACCGGGGCUAAUACCGAAUAACAAUGAGCUUUUCAUGAAGCUUAUUUGAAAGAUGGCUUCGGCUAUCACUUACAGAUGGGCCUGCGGCGCAUUAGCUAGUUGGUGAGGUAACGGCUCACCAAGGCGACGAUUGCGUAGCCGACCUGAGAGGGUGAUCGGCCACACUGGGACUGAGACACGGCCCAGACUCCUACGGGAGGCAGCAAUAGGGAAUCUUCGGCAAUGGGCGAAAGCCUGACCGAGCAACGCCGCGUGAGUGAUGAAGGUUUUCGGAUCGUAAAGCUCUGUUGUUAGGGAAGAACAAGUGUCGUUCGAAUAGGGCGGUACCUUGACGGUACCUAACCAGAAAGCCACGGCUAACUACGUGCCAGCAGCCGCGGUAAUACGUAGGUGGCAAGCGUUGUCCGGAAUUAUUGGGCGUAAAGCGCGCGCAGGCGGUCUCUUAAGUCUGAUGUGAAAGCCCACGGCUCAACCGUGGAGGGUCAUUGGAAACUGGGGGACUUGAGUACAGAAGAGGAGAGUGGAAUUCCACGUGUAGCGGUGAAAUGCGUAGAGAUGUGGAGGAACACCAGUGGCGAAGGCGGCUCUCUGGUCUGUAACUGACGCUGAGGCGCGAAAGCGUGGGGAGCAAACAGGAUUAGAUACCCUGGUAGUCCACGCCGUAAACGAUGAGUGCUAGGUGUUGGGGGGUACCACCCUCAGUGCUGACGUUAACACAUUAAGCACUCCGCCUGGGGAGUACGACCGCAAGGUGAAACUCAAAGGAAUUGACGGGGGCCCGCACAAGCAGUGGAGCAUGUGGUUUAAUUCGAAGCAACGCGAAGAACCUUACCAGGUCUUGACAUCCUCUGCCACUCCUAGAGAUAGGACGUUCCCCUUCGGGGGACAGAGUGACAGGUGGUGCAUGGUUGUCGUCAGCUCGUGUCGUGAGAUGUUGGGUUAAGUCCCGCAACGAGCGCAACCCUUGAUCUUAGUUGCCAGCAUUUAGUUGGGCACUCUAAGGUGACUGCCGGUGACAAACCGGAGGGAGGUGGGGAUGACGUCAAAUCAUCAUGCCCCUUAUGACCUGGGCUACACACGUGCUACAAUGGAUGGUACAAAGGGUAGCGAAGCCGCGAGGUGGAGCCAAUCCCAUAAAGCCAUUCUCAGUUCGGAUUGUAGGCUGCAACUCGCCUACAUGAAGCCGGAAUUGCUAGUAAUCGCGGAUCGGCAUGCCGCGGUGAAUACGUUCCCGGGCCUUGUACACACCGCCCGUUCACACCACGAGAGUUUGUAACACCCGAAGUCGGUGAGGUAACCUUUUGGAGCCAGCCGCCGAAGGUGGGACAGAUGAUUGGGGUG
rnacentral:rRNA from 1 species